rnacentral:rRNA from 1 species
UACGUAGGGGGCAAGCGUUGUCCGGAAUCACUGGGCGUAAAGCGCGCGCAGGCGGCUGUCUACGUCCGGGGUGAAAGCCCAGAGCUCAACUCUGGGAUUGCCUUGGAUACGGGAUGGCUUGAGGAUCGGAGAGGCAAGGGGAAUUCCACGUGUAGCGGUGAAAUGCGUAGAGAUGUGGAGGAACACCUGUGGCGAAGGCAGCGCCCUGGCCGCCAUCUGACGCUCAGGCACGAAAGCUGGGGGAGCGAACAGG